UAGGGAAUCUUCGGCAAUGGGGGGAACCCUGACCGAGCAACGCCGCGUGAGUGAAGAAGGUUUUCGGAUCGUAAAGCUCUGUUGUUAAGGAAGAACGAGUGUGAGAAUGGAAAGUUCAUACUGUGACGGUACUUAACCAGAAAGGGACGGCUAACUACGUGCCAGCAGCCGCGGUAAUACGUAGGUUCCGAGCGUUGUCCGGAUUUAUUGGGCGUAAAGCGAGCGCAGGCGGUUAGAUAAGUCUGAAGUUAAAGGCAGUGGCUCAACCAUUGUAGGCUUUGGAAACUGUUUAACUUGAGUGCAGAAGGGGAGAGUGGAAUUCCAUGUGUAGCGGUGAAAUGCGUAGAUAUAUGGAGGAACACCGGUGGCGAAAGCGGCUCUCUGGUCUGUAACUGACGCUGAGGCUCGAAAGCGUGGGGAGCGAACAGG
rnacentral:rRNA from 1 species